AAAACAUCGCCUCCUGCAACACAGCCAAGUAUAGGAGGUCCAGCCUGCCCAGUGACUACAAGUUCAACGGCCGCGGUAUUUUGACCGUGCAAAGGUAGCGCAAUCACUUGUCUUUUAAAUAGAGACCUGUAUGAAUGGCCAAACGAGGGCUUAACUGUCUCCCCUUUCAAGUCAGUGAAAUUGAUCUGCCCGUGCAGAAGCGGACAUAUUAAUACAAGACGAGAAGACCCUUUGGAGCUUAAGGUACAAAACUCAACCACGUCAAGCAACUCAUUAAAAAGCAAAAACCUUGUGGAACAUGAAAUUUUACCUUCGGUUGGGGCGACCACGGAGGAAAACAAAGCCUCCAAGUGGAUUGGGACAAAUCUCCUAAAACCAAGAGAAACAUCUCUAAGCCACAGAACAUCUGACCAAACAUGAUCCGGCCACUAAAGCCGAUCAACGAACCAAGUUACCCUAGGGAUAACAGCGCAAUCCUCUCCCAGAGUCCAUAUCGACGAGGGGGUUUACGACCUCGAUGUUGGAUCAGGACAUCCUAAUGGUGCAGCCGCUAUUAAGGGUUCGUUUGUUCAACGAUUAAAGUCCUACGUGA
rnacentral:rRNA from 1 species